UACGGAGGAUCCAAGCGUUAUCCGGAAUCAUUGGGUUUAAAGGGUCCGUAGGCGGUUUAGUAAGUCAGUGGUGAAAGCCCAUCGCUCAACGGUGGAACGGCCAUUGAUACUGCUAGACUUGAAUUAUUAGGAAGUAACUAGAAUAUGUAGUGUAGCGGUGAAAUGCUUAGAGAUUACAUGGAAUACCAAUUGCGAAAGGCAGGUUACUACUAAUGGAUUUGACGCUGAUGGACGAAAGCGUGGGUAGCGAACAGG
rnacentral:rRNA from 1 species